rnacentral:tRNA from 1 species
AAAGCUUUAAGUUAACUAAACUAUUAACCUUCAAAGUUAAAUUUACAAUUAUUGUAAGCUUUA